rnacentral:rRNA from 1 species
UACGUAGGUGGCAAGCGUUGUCCGGAAUUACUGGGUGUAAAGGGUGCGUAGGCGGGUAAGCAAGUCAGAUGUGAAAGCCCCUGGCUCAACUGGGGGAUUGCAUCUGAAACUGUUUAUCUUGAGUGCUGGAGAGGAAAGCGGAAUUCCUAGUGUAGCGGUGAAAUGCGUAGAUAUUAGGAGGAACACCAGUGGCGAAGGCGGCUUUCUGGACAGUAACUGACGCUGGGGCACGAAAGCGUGGGGAGCGAACAGGAUUAGAUACCCUGGUAGUCCACGCUGUAAACGAUGAAUACUAGGUGUAGGUGGUAUCGACCCCAUCUGUGCCGGAGUAAACACAAUAAGUAUUCCACCUGGGGAGUACGACCGCAAGGUUGAA